UACGUAGGGAGCAAGCGUUGUCCGGAAUCAUUGGGCGUAAAGAGCUUGUAGGCGGUCUGUCGCGUCUGCUGUGAAAAUCCGGGGCUCAACCCCGGACUUGCAGUGGGUACGGGCAGACUAGAGUGUGGUAGGGGAGACUGGAAUUCCUGGUGUAGCGGUGAAAUGCGCAGAUAUCAGGAGGAACACCGGUGGCGAAGGCGGAUCUCUGGGCCUUACCUGACGCUGAGGCGCGAAAGCUAGGGGGAGCGAACAGG
rnacentral:rRNA from 1 species